rnacentral:rRNA from 1 species
UACGUAGGUGGCAAGCGUUGUCCGGAAUUACUGGGCGUAAAGCGUGCGUAGGUGGUUCGUUAAGUCUGAUGUGAAAGCCCUGGGCUCAACCUGGGAAUGGCAUUGGAAACUGGCGACCUAGAGUGCGGUAGAGGGUAGUGGAAUUCCCGGUGUAGCAGUGAAAUGCGUAGAGAUCGGGAGGAACAUCCGUGGCGAAGGCGACUACCUGGACCAGCACUGACACUGAGGCACGAAAGCGUGGGGAGCAAACAGG